rnacentral:ncRNA from 1 species
UGCCCGGUAGGGUUAGGGUAAUCUUUUGAAUCGUGUCGUGCUAGGGAUAGACGAUUGCAAUUAUUCGUCUUCAACGAGGAAUUCCUAGUAAAUGCAAGUCAUCAGCUUGCGUUGAUUACGUCCCUGCCCUUUGUACACACCGCCCGUCGCUCCUACCGAUUGAGUGAUCCGGUGAGCUGUCCGGACUGCGAUUAGUUCAGUUUCUGUUCUCUUCGCGGGAAGUUCUGCAAACCUUAUCACUUAGAGGAAGGAGAAGUCGUAACAAGGUUUCCGUAGGUGAACCUGCGGAAGGAUCAUUC